rnacentral:tRNA from 1 species
GCACCAGUAGCUCAGUUGGAUAGAGCAGCCGCCUUCUAAGCGGUAGGUCGAGGGUUCGAGUCCUUCCUGGUGCACCA